GACUCCGUGAAGCUGGAUUCGCUAGUAAUCGCGCAUCAGCCAUGGCGCGGUGAAUACGUUCCCGGGCCUUGUACACACCGCCCGUCAAGCCAUGGGAGCCGGGAGUGCCUGAAGUGCGUGACCGUAAAGGAGCGCCCUAGGGCAAGACCGGUGACUGGGGCUAAGUCGUAACAAGGUAAC
rnacentral:rRNA from 1 species